UACACUGCCUGCUGCUCGGGCCUUUGGUCAGAAAGAGGUGACUCCAGGGGCUUCUUCCCCUUUGCUUCAGUCCUCGGGCAACUGCACAGUACUAAGGGGUGAGGAGCAGGGGCUUGGACCAAGGUCCUUGUGCAUGGUGACAUAUGCGCUCAACCAGGUGAGCCACCACCUGGCCCCCCAACUAUCACUUACACAACUUGCAGAGACUUCGGUGGGAAGGGCAGGUGACUUACACUCCCUGCGCUGUGGCCUCCUCCUGACACCCUGCUCCACUCAGCUCCUGGGCUCCGCCACGCCCACAGCCUCCUGGGGCGCCUGUCACCCCACCACGCUGCCAGCACUUACAGAAGUCUCAAUCCCCUGGGAAUGAA